GUGCUUGCUUCAGCAGCACUCUUAAUAAAAUUGGAAUGAAAUAGGUUAGUGUGGCCCUGUGCAAUGAUGACAUGCAAAUUUGUGAAACAUUCCAAAUUAAA
ensembl:snRNA U6 U6 spliceosomal RNA